AGUAGAUCAUUUCAGCCCCAGGGAUUUUCCAUCUCACAUUUUUCCUAACCUCAGGGUUUUUGCAUUUCACCAAAGUUCCCCGUACUGGAGAAUCCUUAUCACCUUGCUGCUCUGAAGAUGGUGAUUUAGACUCACUUUCUUCAAUUUUAGGCCUCCUAGAAUCUUCAGUUUCAGCUUCUUAUUCAGUGUCCUCAGACCUCUGCUCAGUGUGUUCUGAUUCUUGUUCCUCAGAAGCUUGCUCAAUGAGGUUUUCACCUCAGUAUCAUCAGUAUCUUCCACAUUAAUAGUCUUAGGUAGAGGUGGAGUCUUUGGACUAGUCCUCUUUCUUUUCC
rnacentral:lncRNA from 1 species